AUCAUAAUCGUUGGAUUUCAAUGAUGCAACAUCCAAGAACUAAGGCCUCCCCCUCCCCCAAGUAUAAUAUUGUGUGAAAGUUAUCCAGCCCCCCUUGAUUCAAGACCCCUCAUUCCAUCUCCUCACACUCUCCGUCUCGAGAAACCUUAGCCUUCACCCUAAAAACCUCCCAUCGUCUCCGCUGUCAGCCACUCGCCGCGACUCGCCUCAUGAUGGUUCCGGCAUACCAAUCCACACAAAAGUAAAAUCACAGAACCCCUAUUGCUUUCUCUUUCCAAAUCCCUAAUACAUGUCCCUCUCAUCCCUCCCAAACAACUCAAAUCUUAGAAUUAAGAUCGAUUCCCAAAAUCUUAUCUCACCCAAAAAAUCCCAAAUUCACACCCUAUAACCCCUAACAUUCCCUCGUUGCUAUCUUGCUUUGAUUUCGAAAAAUUCCUAUCCAACUUGCUCAAAUUUUGAAUACGAAAUCAUGAACCCUAUUNNN
rnacentral:lncRNA from 1 species